ACUCCUACGGGAGGCAGCAGUAGGGAAUAUUGGUCAAUGGGCGAGAGCCUGAACCAGCCAUGCCGCGUGCAGGAAGACGGCUUUCUGAGUUGUAAACUGCUUUUGUACGGGAAGAAAAAGUCCUUGCGAGGAAAAUUGCCGGUACCGUACGAAUAAGCACCGGCUAACUCCGUGCCAGCAGCCGCGGUAAUACGGAGGGUGCAAGCGUUGUCCGGAUUUAUUGGGUUUAAAGGGUGCGUAGGCGGAUCUUUAAGUCAGUGGUGAAAUCCUGCAGCUUAACUGUAGAACUGCCAUUGAUACUGGAGGUCUUGAGUAUACUAGAGGUAGGCGGAAUUUAUGGUGUAGCGGUGAAAUGCAUAGAUACCAUAAAGAACACCAAUAGCGUAGGCAGCUUACUGGAGUAUAACUGACGCUGAGGCACGAAAGCAUGGGUAGCGAACAGGAUUAGAUACCCCUGGUAGACUGUCA
rnacentral:rRNA from 1 species